rnacentral:rRNA from 1 species
AUUGAACGCUGGCGGCAGGCCUAACACAUGCCAGUCGAGCGGAUGAAGGGAGCUUGCUCCUGGAUUCAGCGGCGGACGGGUGAGUAAUGCCUAGGAAUCUGCCUGGUAGUGGGGGAUAACGUCCGGAAACGGGCGCUAAUACCGCAUACGUCCUGAGGGAGAAAGUGGGGGAUCUUCGGACCUCACGCUAUCAGAUGAGCCUAGGUCGGAUUAGCUAGUUGGUGGGGUAAAGGCCUACCAAGGCGACGAUCCGUAACUGGUCUGAGAGGAUGAUCAGUCACACUGGAACUGAGACACGGUCCAGACUCCUACGGGAGGCAGCAGUGGGGAAUAUUGGACAAUGGGUGAAAGCCUGAUCCAGCCAUGCCGCGUGUGUGAAGAAGGUCUUCGGAUUGUAAAGCACUUUAAGUUGGGAGGAAGGGCAGUAAGUUAAUACCUUGCUGUUUUGACGUUACCAACAGAAUAAGCACCGGCUAACUUCGUG